GUAGUCCUAGCCGUAAACGGUGCACAUUUGCUGUAAGAGGAAUCGACCCCUUUUGUGGCGAAGCUAACGCGCUAAAUGUGCCGCCUGGGAAGUACGGUCGCAAGAUUAAAACUCAAAGAAAUUGACGGGGGCCUGCACAAGCGGUGGAGUAUGUGGCUUAAUUCGAUGCAACGCGAAGAACCUUACCUGGCCUUGACAUGUAGGUAGUAGGAGGAUGAAAGUCUGACGAGGUAGCAAUACCAGCCUACACAGGUGCUGCAUGGCUGUCGUCAGCUCGUGUCGUGAGAUGUUGGGUUAAGUCCCGCAACGAGCGCAACCCUUGUGUCCUGUUGCCACCUUUACGAGAGUAAAGAGCACUCUGGACAGACUGCCUCGCUUAAACGAGGA
rnacentral:rRNA from 1 species